UUAUAAGAGACAGCAGUAGCCGCGGGAAAACAGAGGGUGCAAGCGUUAAUCGGAAUUACUGGGCGUAAAGCGCGCGUAGGUGGUUCGCCAAGUUGGAUGUGAAAUCCCCGGGCUCAACCUGGGAACUGCAUCCAAAACUGGCGAGCUAGAGUAUGGUAGAGGGUGGUGGAAUUUCCUGUGUAGCGGUGAAAUGCGUAGAUAUAGGAAGGAACAUCAGUGGCGAAGGCGACCACCUGGACUGAUACUGACACUGAGGUGCGAAAGCGUGGGGAGCAAACAGGAUUAGAUACCCCUGUAGUCCCUGUCUCUUAUAA
rnacentral:rRNA from 1 species